rnacentral:rRNA from 1 species
UACGUAGGGCGCAAGCGUUGUCCGGAAUUACUGGGCGUAAAGUGUGCGCAGGCGGCCGAGCAAGUCGAGUGUGAAAGCCCCGGGCUUAACUUGGGAAUUGCGCUCGAAACUACUUGGCUGGAGUGUGGCAGAGGAAGGUGGAAUUCCAGGUGUAGCGGUGAAAUGCGCAGAUAUCAGGAGGAACACCGGUGGCGAAGGCGGGUCUCUGGGCCGAUACUGACGCUGAGGGACGAAAGCUAGGGGAGCGAAUGGG